rnacentral:rRNA from 1 species
AUUGAACGCUGGCGGCAUGCCUUACACAUGCAAGUCGAACGGCAGCACGGGAGCAAUCCUGGUGGCGAGUGGCGAACGGGUGAGUAAUAUAUCGGAACGUGCCCAGUCGUGGGGGAUAACGCAGCGAAAGCUGUGCUAAUACCGCAUACGAUCUACGGAUGAAAGCGGGGGAUCGCAAGACCUCGCGCGAUUGGAGCGGCCGAUAUCAGAUUAGCUAGUUGGUGAGGUAAAGGCUCACCAAGGCGACGAUCUGUAGCUGGUCUGAGAGGACGACCAGCCACACUGGAACUGAGACACGGUCCAGACUCCUACGGGAGGCAGCAGUGGGGAAUUUUGGACAAUGGGCGCAAGCCUGAUCCAGCAAUGCCGCGUGCAGGAUGGAGGCCUUCGGGUUGUAAACUGCUUUUGUACGGAGCGAAACGGUCUUUCCUAAUACGAGAGGCUAAUGACGGUACCGUAAGAAUAAGCACCGGCUAACUACGUGCCAGCCGCCGCGGUAA